CACGGAGGAUCAGUGACCCCGCCUUGAGCAGCCUGAUUGGACGAGUGACUCGUGCUGCUCCCCGGCUGUGCUGUGCAACUACUGAACACUGAUCGCAAAAAAGCCAAGGAGAAAAAAAAGCAAAGCAAAGGGUACUCCGCGAUGAUUGGUUGAAUGGUGAAACAGGCACCCCGCCUUGUUCUGACACUUUGGACUGCCAGUGAAAGUGGAGGGGGUGGGCCCCGCUGUAAUGAUUGACAGGUGAACAUACCGACGAUAGAGAAGAUGAGGAACGCCGGCCGCUCGUUGGGAGACAGUGAGCGUGUGGUCGUCCCGUCGUUUUGUUCCGGUGCUGACUUAUCAGGAGGGUUCCGUCCUACGCAUCACAAUAAACCUUCGAACAGCAGAAGCCUGGAAGCUUCUGGAAGCAGGCCUACGGCGCCGUGUUUGGUCUGCCUAAACUGGCCCUGAUGCAAGCGGACUGUUAUAUCAAUGCCUUAUAGGAGGAAGAACAGGGUGCUUCGUAUUACUUUUCUGACCAUGGUUCGUAAAAGGGGCCAAGUCAGCACAAAUAGUCCAAGGAGGCGGUAACAGCGAGUCCUGGACAAGCUCCAGUUGCUGGCACGGUCACCGUGUACGGGCCAGCUAGUGGAAAUGAUUCACGAGAAAUUCCACCAAGAGCCAAAAAGCAGCUCGAAAAGGAAAAAUAUUGGCUACUGGAGUGUGUAGGAUGGAAAGGUUUGGCCGCCCCUGUUUGACCAUGAGAGGCUACAACACAACUUUACCACCUCAUAUGUUCUUCUCUAC